GACGAGCCUCACGAACGUUAUUCGGAAUUACUGGGCGUAAAGGGCUCGUAGGCGGCCAACUAAGUCAUACGUGAAAUCCCUCAGCUUAACUGGGGAACUGCGUGUGAUACUGGAUGGCUUGGAUUUGGGAGAGGGAUGCGGAAUUCCAGGUGUAGCGGUGAAAUGCGUAGAUAUCUGGAGGAACACCGGUGGCGAAGGCGGCAUCCUGGACCAAUAUUGACGCUGAGGAGCGAAAGCCAGGGGAGCAAACGGG
rnacentral:rRNA from 1 species